GUGGCGGGCCACAGCGAGCACAGCGUCAGGACCACCUGUCCGAUGAGCAUGGUAUCCGAGUCAGCGGGGGCACAAGUCCGGAAUGAUGAGGACUUGGGAAUUACGGAGAGGAGCUUGGUACUUGAAGACGGCUGCUAGGAAGGACGUGACAAUGAAGAUGCGAUGCGUGCAUGUACACAAACGACAAGCUCAAGGCUUCCCGAAGACGGAAUGCGUGACCAACGUUCCCCCCCGAUGAGAGAAAAAUGCUAGCAAAUCCAACCUGGUUCCGACCUACAAAGGAAGGCAUGCGUCGUAAAAUAUGCCAGAUGCAUUGUGGCCCCCGCGCAGCGGCCACUUGCUGACGCACUUUUGAGUCAGCCAUCGACAAACUACAGGAUGAACAAGUGAACCAGUCAUGAGAUGAUCCCUAUCUCAAAGUCAGCAGUAAAUUGCUCUAUUGUGUUUUUACAUUUUAAGGAGCACACCUAAGGUCCAACGUUGCCAACGUCCCCCGUGACCUCCUCGUCGUAAUAACGAUUCUGCCGACUCCGAUCCACUGCCGCCACACCUGAUUCGCUUUGCCGCUUGGGUGUUCCGCGCUACGCCGCCAACAAUUGGAUUGUGGCCGUCGAGAAGUUUCCAGCUUGUGAGGCUCUUGGAGGAAAUGGGCUCCCUAGGUCCUGUCCUGAUGCCGAGGCGAUAGUGAGGAUUUACGGGUGGACUCUGGUGAUUAGACGCAGGCCAAAUGGGAACACGGGGCAAUCACUGGGCCACUUGCACAGCUGACAAAUAUGGACACACACAC